UCUAAUACCGGAUACGACCUGGGGUUGCAUGUCUUCUGGUGGAAAGAUUUAUCGGUGCGAGAUGGGCCCGCGGCCUAUCAGCUUGUUGGUGAGGUAACGGCUCACCAAGGCGACGACGGG
rnacentral:rRNA from 1 species